CAUUUCAGCAACCAAAUUGGAUAAAACAGACAACGUGCAUGGCUGGAAUUACAAUGUAAUACGCAGUAGGGUAGCAUUCUUCUUGUCAGGUCUUCCCGUCUCUCCUUCUCCAAAAAUCAGAUUGUCAAAGGCGACAUACCGCCCUGCAGAGGGCCCUCUCUGGGAUGACAGAGUGUCUGGCCGAUCUGACAGGAAAGGAAACCCAAAUGUGGGAAGGGCUGGUUGCCACAGUGCUGAGCGAGGACGCAAGUGAUGGAUGGAGGUUGUUAGAUCCAGUAAUUGUGUUCAGGUUAAUACUCAGUACAGGUGAUGCUCACACAUUCCAGCUCAGUAUCUCACUAAGAUGACGACCUGUUUGACAUUAAUCCAGCCGGAGCUGAAACAUCUCCAUUCCAUGUUUCCAGGACCAGCCAAACUAUGGAGAAAAAGCUGCGACUUACAGUCCUGAAAAUACAGUAAUGAGAGAAAAACACAAGACAGUUG